UGGGGAAUCUUCCGCAAUGGACGAAAGUCUGACGGAGCAACGCCGCGUGAGUGAUGACGGCCUUCGGGUUGUAAAGCUCUGUUAAUCGGGACGAAUGGUUCUUGUGCAAAUAGUGCGAGGAUUUGACGGUACCGGAAUAGAAAGCCACGGCUAACUACGUGCCAGCAGCCGCGGUAAUACGUAGGUGGCAAGCGUUGUCCGGAAUUAUUGGGCGUAAAGCGCGCGCAGGCGGAUUGGUCAGUCUGUCUUAAAAGUUCGGGGCUCAACCCCGUGAUGGGAUGGAAACUGCCAAUCUAGAGUAUCGGAGAGGAAAGUGGAAUUCCUAGUGUAGCGGUGAAAUGCGUAGAUAUUAGGAAGAACACCAGUGGCGAAGGCGACUUUCUGGACGAAAACUGACGCUGAGGCGCGAAAGCCAGGGGAGCGAACGGGAUUAGAUACCCCGGUAGUCCUGGCCGUAAACGAUGGGCACUAGGUGUAGGAGGUAUCGACCCCUUCUGUGCCGGAGUUAACGCAAUAAGUACCCCGCCUGGGGAGUACGACCGCAAGGUUG
rnacentral:rRNA from 1 species